CCUCGGGAGGACGUUUACCACGGAGUGAUUCAUGACUGGGGUGAAGUCGUAACAAGGUAGCCCUAGGGGAACCUGGGGCUGGAUCACCUCCUUAUACGA
rnacentral:rRNA from 1 species